rnacentral:rRNA from 1 species
AAGGCACCGCGGAGUGGAGCUAAUCUCAUAAAACCGUUCUCAGUUCGGAUUGUAGGCUGCAACUCGCCUACAUGAAGCUGGAAUCGCUAGUAAUCGCGGAUCAGCAUGCCGCGGUGAAUACGUUCCCGGGCCUUGUACACACCGCCCGUCACACCACGAGAGUUUGUAACACCCGAAGUCGGUGGGGUAACCUUUUGGAGCCAGCCGCCUAAGGUGGGACAGAUGAUUGGGGUGAAGUCGUAACAAGGAUAGCCGUAA